rnacentral:piRNA from 1 species
UACGUUUUUGGCUUUCGUGCUGUAUGUUU